rnacentral:lncRNA from 1 species
CCAGGAUAAAGCAACUGAAGUUUUGGGGGGAAAUAGAAUCUGCUAUAAUUUAAGAGGUCAGUGUGUUUGCAUUUUCAAUGUGAUGGAUCAGACAGAUGUUGCUACUUACAAGAUUCCUCUUCAUGACACUAAGCAGAUUGGUUUCCACAUAACAUCUUUCCCAGCAGUUUUCCCUUAAGAAACUCUAACCACAGAUAUACAAACUACUACAUCCUUUCUUGAACAAGAUAUUAACCUCAUUUGGACAUUCUAAAAAUUACUGAAUACUAAUAUCACCAGAGAAAUUGUGUAAAAGUUCAGUUCCUUAGAAACAAAAAUAAAAUUACAACAUUGUUCUUGCUAAGACACUUAAUCCCCCAAAAUGAGAUCACUGAAUAUUUAGUGUUAUCACUUGUUUCCUGACCUGAGAUUCCCUUCUAAAGGUUAGAUUAACCUUUAGAUUAACACAAUGAAUACACAUCUAAAAUAAUUCCUUUUUGGUUAUUUAUGAGAAUAUAAAAGGAAGAAUUCUCCAGGUUCUCCAUUCCCUCCAAUCUUUUUUUCAGUAAUAUAAACACUCCAGGAAAUUCAAAUGAACAGGAAGACUUAAACUAUAGACCUUGAAUCUGAUCUGUUAGGAUGAGAAGACAAUGGAGAAAGAAGUGUGACUUUGUCUUGCUUUCCAGCAGCCACUCAGGACUCACCAGCUCCACAACGUUUAUUUAUCCCUUUGUAGAGUGGCAGCCUCCACUGCUGCUCCAAGAUGAGUUUUGUCUCCAGAUGUUUAGAAAUGUCAUAAAGACAUGAAGAAUCAGGGAUUUCACCAGCAUAAUGAUGAACAUUUAUGGGGGAAAGCGAAUGGGAGGUGGUAUUGUGGUGGCUGGAAAGGAGCACAAGGAAAGCUUCUGGAAUUCCAUUAGUUCUGUCUCUUUAUCUGGAUGUCAGUUACAAAGGUGUGUUCAGUUGGCAAAAAUUCAGCAAUCUGUACACUUAAGACAUGUGUCCUAAGUUCCAUACUGUUAAAUCAAGUUUCACCUAAAGCUGUCUCCUUAUACGUUUUAAGUUUGGAGUAAAGGUUUUUCUGUACAUCGUGAACUAUAAACAAGUGGAGGUGUAAACAGACCGUAGCCUACACUUGUGCCAAUCACUGAGUUUUGGUCAAUCAAACGUAGUCAACUGUUCAAACUGUGUUAAAUAAGGCAAAUGCCAAGCUGUAACCAAUCCAGCUGUUUCUGUACCUCACUUGCGUUUUCUACAAGUCGCUUCAUUUUUCUUUUUCUGUCUGUAAAUCUACUUCCACCAAGUGGCUGCGCGGGAGUCUCCGAGCUGGAAAGGCUCUGAUUCGUGAAUCCUUCAUUGCUCGGUUAAACUUAUUUAAAUUUAAUUCAGCUGAAGUUUUUCUUUCAUCAAAAG